rnacentral:rRNA from 1 species
CCAGACUCCUACGGGAGGCAGCAGUGAGGAAUAUUGGUCAAUGGGCGCGAGCCUGAACCAGCCAAGUCGCGUGAGGGAUGACGGCCCUACGGGUUGUAAACCUCUUUUGCCGGGGAGCAACGGGCGCCACGUGUGGCGCCACUGAGAGUACCCGGAGAAAAAGCAUCGGCUAACUCCGUGCCAGCAGCCGCGGUAAUACGGAGGAUGCGAGCGUUAUCCGGAUUUAUUGGGUUUAAAGGGUGCGUAGGCGGAUGGUAAGGGCGGGGGUAAAAGGGGGGGCCUACACCCCUGCCCGCCAUUGAAACUGGCGCUCUUGAGUGGAAGAGAAGUAUGCGGAAUGCGUGGUGUAGCGGUGAAAUGCAUAGAUAUCACGCAGAACCCCGAUUGCGAAGGCAGCAUGCCGGCUUCCGACUGACGCUGAAGCACGAAAGCGUGGGGAUCGAACAGGAUUAGAUACCCGGGUAA